rnacentral:rRNA from 1 species
AAAACAUCUUUUCUUGUUAUUUAUUUGAGAUUUGACCUGCCCAAUGAAUAUUUUAAUGGCCGCGGUAUUUUGACCGUGCAAAGGUAGCAUAAUCAUUAGUUCAUUAAUUGUGGACUUGCAUGAAUGGUUUGACGAAAUAUUAACUGUCUCAUAUUUAUUAUUAUAAUUUAAAUUUUGAGUUAAAAUGCUUAAAUUUUUUUAUAGGACGAGAAGACCCUAUAGAUCUUUAUUUUAAUUUUUAUUAAUUUUUUUAGAUUAAUUUUUUUUAAUAUUUAUUAUUUUUUUGUUGGGGUGACAUUUAGAUAUAAUUAACUCUUUUUAUUUUUAUUCAAUAAUUUUUGUUUAUAUGACCUUUUAUUAAUGUUAUAAGAUAUAGAUACCUUAGGGAUAACAGCGUUAUUUUUUUUGAGAGUUCUUAUCGACAAUAAAGAUUGCGACCUCGAUGUUGGAUUAAGAAUAUAAUUAGGUGUAGGUGCUUAAUAAUUAAGUCUGUUCGACUUUUAAAUUCUUACAUGAUCUGA